AUGUCUAGUAUUAUCACACAUCCAACACAACGUCUUCAUCUCUGCUACACUUACUUUAUUCUUGUGUUGACCCUUAAGCGUCCAACAUUUUGUCUCGUACGGCAACGCAGGUCUUACUGUAGUCUGUUAUACUCCUUCUUACUUCUGCUUAGAAGAAAACCACGUGUUUCUAUAACUCGCCUCCAAGUCUCCAACUUCUCAUUUAAAUUCUCCUUUGACUCUCCAAGUAGGACUAUAUCAUCUGCAAAAAGCAUGCAUCUCGGUGCUACCUUUUAG